CAUCAAGUGCGAGAGGCUACAAGAGACAGCACCAGGCAAGAAGCUGUGGCCCCUGAAGCUCAGGGAAGUGGGUGAGGCAGCGUGUACCUUUCAGGAACUGAUCCUGCCAAGGGCUCCAUUCGGAUUCCACGGUGACUGAUCCUGGCCAAACAAAUCUGAGACGGAUAUUCCCGUCCCCAGGCUUCUGAGAGUGUACGCGGUUUCAGACCCACACUUAUUCUGAUUAAAUACCUGGGCCCUGCGUUGCCUGCCCUAAAUAAGCAGCUACUUGUUUUGAGCUCCACUGGCAGAAAAAUACCUGCUGUGGUUUUUGUUUGAAGUAUUGUGAGAGAGAGGGGAGCCCAUGUGUCACAUCUCCCAGUCGUGCUGCAUCUCCAGUUCCUGGCCUACUUCUGUGAACUGCCUGGAGCACAGCUGCUUCUUACUGACUGCACCUGUUCCUGGAGCUCCUGAGUUUAAAAUACAGGAUUUUGGAAUCCUAACGCCUUCAUUUCUCUUCUGCGUACGUCUUCUGGAGUUAUUUGUACAGUGUAAGCUACCUGAAUCAAAACUCAGUCCCUUUGCUUGUCUCUGCAAAGCAUCAGUAGUGUUUAAGCUUGAUGGCAG
rnacentral:lncRNA from 1 species